rnacentral:rRNA from 1 species
UACGGAGGGUGCGAGCAUUAAUCGGAUUUAUUGGGCGUAAAGGGCGCGUAGGCGGGGGUAUAAGUCAUAUGUGAAAUCCCAGGGCUCAACUCUGGACCCGCAUAUGAAACUGUAUCUCUUGAGGGUAGGCGGAGAAAGCGGAAUUCCACAUGUAGCGGUGAAAUGCGUAGAUAUGUGGAGGAACACCGGUGGCGAAAGCGGCUUUCUAGCUUAUUUCUGACGCUGAGGCGCGAAAGCAAGGGGAGCAAAC